rnacentral:rRNA from 1 species
UCGAGAAUCUUCCGCAAUGGGCGAAAGCCUGACGGAGCGACGCCGCGUGGUUGAUGAAGUCCUUCGGGACGUAAAGACCUUUUAUGGGGGAGGAAGUUAUUGACGUUACCCCAUGAAUAAGAGGCUCCUAACUCUGUGCCAGCAGGAGCGGUAAUACAGAGGCCUCAAGCGUUACCCGGAAUCACUGGGCGUAAAGGGUGUGCAGGCGGCAGUGUUAGUCUUUCGUAAAAGCUCCAGGGCUUAACCCAGGAAAUGCGAAGGAAACGGCACUGCUUAGAGGAUGUCAGAGGUGCGCGGAACUCAUGGUGUAGGGGUGAAAUCCGUUGAUAUCAUGGGGAACACCAAAUGCGAAGGCAGCGCACUGGGGCAUUCCUGACGCUCAGACACGAAAGCGUAGGUAGCGAACGGGAUUAGAUACCCCCGUAGUCC